AGGAAAGAAAGAAAGUAGGUUGAUGGAAGGGAAGAAGCAGGAAGAAGAAAGGGAAAGCGGCGCCUCUAUAUACAGAGAAUGAUUUUUGAUAUUCGUCUGUCAAGUUCAAAUUCUUUCUGUGAUUUUUUCUCUCUCGUAUCUCUUUGUUUCCUCCUUUGU
rnacentral:ribozyme from 11 species